rnacentral:rRNA from 1 species
UUGGUGAGGUAAUGGCUCACCAAGGCGACGAUCCGUAGCUGGUUUGAGAGAACGACCAGCCACACUGGGACUGAGACACGGCCCAGACUCCUACGGGAGGCAGCAGCAGGGAAUAUUGCACAAUGGGCGAAAGCCUGAUGCAGCGACACCGCGUGCGGGAUGAAGGCCUUCGGGUUGUAAACCGCUUUCAGGAGGGACGAAAAUGACGGUACCUCCAGAAGAAGGCCCGGCCAACUACGUGCCAGCAGCCGCGGUAAUACGUAGGGGCCAAACGUUGUCCGGAUUUAUUGGGCGUAAAGGGCUCGUAGGCGGUUCAACAAGUCGGUCGUGAAAGCCCGGGGCUCAACCCCGGGACGCCGGUCGAAACUGUUGUGACUAGGGUCCGGUAGAGGUGAGUGGAAUUCUCGGUGUAGCGGUGGAAUGCGCAGAUAUCGAGAGGAACACCAGUAGCGAAGGCGGCUCACUGGGCCGGUACCGACGCUGAGGAGCGAAAGCAUGGGGAGCAAACAGGAUUAGAUACCCUGGUAGUCCAUGCCGUAAACGAUGAACACUAG